rnacentral:rRNA from 1 species
UAAAACGGAGGGUGCAAACGUUGCUCGGAAUUACUGGGCGUAAAGCGCAUGCAGGCGGCAUGUUAAGUCUUAUGUGAAAGCCCUGGGCUCAACCCAGGAAGUGCAUGAGAAACUGGCACGCUAGAGUACUGGAAAAGUGGGCGGAAUUCCCGGUGUAGAGGUGAAAUUCGUAGAUAUCGGGAGGAACACCAGCAGCGAAGGCGGCUCACUAGAAAGAUACUGACGCUCAGAUGCGAAAGCGUGGGGAGCAAACAGGAUUAGAUACCCUGGUAGUCCACGCCGUAAACGAUGGGCACUAGGUGUCGGGGGCUUGACCCCUUCGGCGCCGAAGCUAACGCAUUAAGUGCCCCGCCUGGGGACUACGGUCGCAAGACUA